CCCGGAAGUGAGUUGGCAGCUACAGGUGAAGAAGCUCAGCGUGAUCCCGGCAGGCCUUUGCUCCGAGUCUCAGUGGCUCCUGGGUCAUGCCAACGGAGUCUGCGGUUGGUUACGUUCAGCUCGAGUUGAAUGCUCUAAACUACCAACUGAAUGGCACGUUUACAUAUGAAGACUCCUUGUGGUUCCUGCAAGACAGAGUGUGAAUGACCUCUGCUGUGGCCAAUUUAAGAAGGAAAAAUAUUAAAGGUGUGCAAAGGGUGAGGAAGAGCGGCUGCUCUAUGUAUAGUUCUACUAAAGAAUGAGGAAUACUUCCUAAAUUUA